ACUCCUACGGGAGGCAGCAGUGGGGAAUAUUGCACAAUGGGCGCAAGCCUGAUGCAGCCAUGCCGCGUGUAUGAAGAAGGCCUUCGGGUUGUAAAGUACUUUCAGCGGGGAGGAAGGCGAUAAGGUUAAUAACCUUGUCGAUUGACGUUACCCGCAGAAGAAGCACCGGCUAACUCCGUGCCAGCAGCCGCGGUAAUACGGAGGGUGCAAGCGUUAAUCGGAAUUACUGGGCGUAAAGCGCACGCAGGCGGUCUGUCAAGUCGGAUGUGAAAUCCCCAGGCUCAACCUGGGAACUGCAUUCGAAACUGGCAGGCUAGAGUCUUGUAGAGGGGGGUAGAAUUCCAGGUGUAGCGGUGAAAUGCGUAGAGAUCUGGAGGAAUACCGGUGGCGAAGGCGGCCCCCUGGACAAAGACUGACGCUCAGGUGCGAAAGCGUGGGGAGCAAACAGGAUUAGAUCCCAGUAGUCCCAUGAU
rnacentral:rRNA from 1 species